GCCCGUCGUCCAGUUCGUACUGUAAAGCGUUCUGUUAAGUCAGAUAACGAACGAGACCCUCAUCUCUAUUUGCUACCCUUCUCUCCGGAGGAGGCGCACCAUAGAGAGACCGCUGGUGCUAAACCAGAGGAAGGCGAGGGCAACGACAGGUCAGUAUGCCCCGAAUGUCAUGGGCUACACGCGCGCUACAAAGGACGGGACAAUGGGAAGCCAGAUCGAGAGAUCGAGCUAACCCGAAACCCGUUCAUAGUUCGGAUUGUGGGCUGUAACUCGCCCACAUGAAGCUGGAUUGCGUAGUAAUCGUGUUUCAACAUAGCACGGUGAAUAUGCCCCUGCUCCUUGCACACACCGCCCGUCAAACCAUCUUAGUUGGGGGUGGGUGAGGCUGCGCUUUAUGGCGUAUUCGAGCCUGUCUUUAACAAGGAGGGUUAAGUCGUAACAAGGUAACC
rnacentral:rRNA from 1 species